UACAGAGGUCCCGAGCGUUGUUCGGAUUCACUGGGCGUAAAGGGUGCGUAGGUGGCUUGGAAAGUUUGAUGUGAAAGCUCAGGGCUUAACCCUGAAAUGGCAUUGAAUACUACUCGGCUGGAGGUUUGGAGGGGGGACUGGAAUUCUCGGUGUAGCAGUGAAAUGCGUAGAUAUCGAGAGGAACACCAGUGGCGAAGGCGAGUCCCUGGACAACACCUGACACUGAGGCACGAAAGCCGGGGGAGCAAACAGG
rnacentral:rRNA from 1 species